rfam:Gasterosteus aculeatus cont1.006979, whole genome shotgun sequence.
UAUUUAAUUUGAUGUAAGUCGCUUUGGAUAAAAGCGUCAGCUAAAUGACAUGUA